GAACUUAGAAAAUUAGAACUGGAGUAAGAAGAAGCGGCGUCUGAUUGGAUGAUGACCUGUCGUCACUUCCGCCUGAUUUCAACGUUAUAUGCGUGAUGCAGCAAGUGUAGCGAAACAGAAACGUCGAGAAAACGCACAAGCGAACAUCUCUCGCUUUCGUUAGCGGUUUAGUUUUUGAUUCCGCAAAACUAAACUAUCUUUUGUUUAAGUUAUUUCCUUAUUAUAAAUAACGUACUUGUUUUAGUACGCGCGUCGGUAUGUGUAUUGACGCCAUGGAAACAGAAGGGAGAAAGCAGCGCGAGAGCCGCUCGAACGGGUGGAGAAGGAGAAGGAAGACGGGUGUUGUGGAAGACGCUGUACGGAAGUCGUCGAGGAAGCCUGGACGUCGUUCUCACAGCCUGGCGUCGGUGAAGGAGAAGCAGAAACAUUCAGACGUGCUCCCGUCGGGAGCGAUGGCGCCUGGAAAUACCACGCAGUACCUCAUGGAGCAAGUCUACAGCGACCUGAAAAUUACCGCGCUGUCUCCUAAACAGAGUAACUGUUUACCUCCUCAACACGAACAAACUUAUUCCUACAACUCUCGGUAUACUAAUGAGGACACUCUGGACUUUCAGCACCGGGACUUCGAGAGCGUGUUCUUUCAGAAUGAGAUCUGAGUCGACGCCAUUUUGACGGCCGCCAUCUUGGGUCGGGGAAAAAAAAACCAAGAAGUCCGGAAACUUACCGGCUGAACCUGAUUAAAAUUAAACGACACGCAUGCGCAGCAGGAGGCUCGUGGCUCUGCGGCACCAGAGUGUAAGCCCCGCCCACGCCUGCUCAGACACAUGUGCACACAGGUAAACCUGCUCCACAAAGGUGUGUGUGUAUGCUCUAUAUUGUGUUUGUGUUCUGCUGUGCAUCUGUGUUCGAGAGACUUUUGCAGGUCUGCUGCUCCAUCGCUGAUGGCUUUCAGCUGAACUUUCUGAGCAGCGGCGGUCAGAAGGACACGAGGCCGAAAGGCUCCCAGUCUUCAGGCCUGGGGUAACUCUUUUAUUCUGAUCACUCUUACUUUACUCUGAUGCACUGAUGGACAGGACGUGACCGGCUGAUGGACACGUAAAGUGACCAACCGCAGUUUACGUGAUGUAUGGGGCGGGUAAAUGAUAAUACCGUAAUAAAUUAAGGUUAGAGUUUAUUUUCUCACACAGAGAAUGUAGCUUGUACUUUGUUGUUAAUAUGCAACACUACACUGUUUACACUUACUUUCAAAUAAAAUAAUUCAAUAAGUCUCUGUAUGUUCUGAAUUCAACAGUCUGAUUGUAUUGUAAACAUCUCUGUUAAGGGAGCAGCAAGUGGAAAAAGUUCGUGACUUAACACUUUUUUGGAAACAAUAAAUAAGUUAUCAUUGCAUGUAUUAUCGGAAGUAUUGAUUAUUCCUCAUUAUCCACGAUGGAGUGGGAGAUGGUGACUGAUUCUGAUAACGAGGAAACCAAUUACCUGUGGCCUUUUUUUGUUGAAGUUCAUGUGCCUUAAGGCAGUGUUUUCCCAACAGGGGUACUCUGUAUAAAAAUCCUUUAAACAUUUCUAAAAUGUGAGUAAAAUAUUGUAGGUGAAAUAAUAAGAUACUCACAUGCAACAAUAAUAAGUGUGUAUAUGUAAUUAUUAAAAAUAAAUCAUAUAAAACCCAGUAAAUCUUGAGAUUGUCACUGGUCACAUUACAACAAAAUAUAGGAUAGCUAUAUGUAUGACCUUUUUUUAUUAAGAUUAUUAAACAUGGACCUUUUGCUUUCAUUAAAUAGACUUAUUAUUUAUUGUAGGCUCAUUUUGUAAACAUUUUUCAUUACUGUAUACAUAAGCAAAAAGUGGGAGCUUCCUGCAAAUGUCAUUUCUCACAUUUACAAAAUCAGGUGAUUAUGUUCAUCCAUCAUAUGUAUAGAGACAAAAGGAAGUUAUUACAGGAUGUUCGCUCUGUAUGGCCACCUGUCCAUGUAAACGUCUCUGUGUAUAAAGAGAAAAGUAUGAGGUUCAAUCCCUGCGUUUUUGUGAAGAUACUGAUGAAUGAAAACAUGGUGCACUCCCCAAGAACACUUUCAGCUUUGGCUUUAUUUUUUCAACAGAAUGUACAAAGCUAAUCCAAAUCACUAUUUAAAAAAAAACCUAUCCAUGAAUUUUGUGCCAUCUGGCUGUCUCUAUGGUCCUGCAUGGAUGGAUCAUAGAGAUACCUGUAGCCUACAAUCGUACCUUUCGGCAAGAUUCGCCUCGAAGUCAUUCAAUUCCAACGCCACGUGGUAAGUUACAAAAAAAAAGGCGUGCAAACACGAAAAUGCUGCCUUAAGGAAUCAACUAAUAAAUCUUACACCUUGUUAUAUGUAAUCUUUGCAAACCAAAGAUUAAAAUACCUCUAAUAUGACGUUCAAGCACAAGUUGAAAGACGUGUAUAGAAAAUGAGCGUGAUUGUUCUGUUAAAUUGUUUCAUUUCUUUAUGCAGAAUUAUACACAGUUGUUCAUAAGUUGGUUCACAAUCAUGACGUACCAAAAUUGUUGCCCAAUUAAGUAAUUGGAGUAAUUAGGUUGGAGUUUUCCAACCUAAAUUAAAUGUUUAUUUGCUUUGUUAAUAAUUAAAAAAUAUAUAUUUUGUGAAUAAUACACUCCACAUUGUAUAUUUGUAUGAGAUUUUUAUAGGCCAAUACUGUUGUUUUUAACUCGGAGACUACGACACGGCCGGACCAUAGGUGGCAGUACAUGCACGUCAAACGCCGCCAAUAAAUCCACAGAAGAAGAAGCGGCGUCUGAUUGGAUGAUGAUCUGUCGUCACUUCCUCCUGAUUUCAACGUUAUAUGCGUGAUGCAGCAAGUGUAGCGCAACAGAAACGUCGAGAAAACGCACAAGCGAACAUCUCUCGCUUUCGUCAGCGGUUUAGUUUUUGAUUCCGCAAAACUAAACUAUCUUUUGUUUAAGUUAUUUCCUUAUUAUAAAUAACGUACUUGUUUUAGUACGCGCGUCGGUAUGUGUAUUGACAUCAUGGGAACAGAAGGGAGAAAGCAGUGCGAGAGCCGCUCCAACGGGUUUAGAAGGAAGACGGGUGUUGUGGAAGCCGCUGUACGGAAGUCGUCGAGGAAGCCUGGACGUCGUUCUCACAGCCUGGCGUCGGUGAAGGAGAAGCAGAAACAUUCAGACGUGCUCCCGUCGGGAGCGAUGGCGCCGAGAAACACCACGCAGUACCUCAUGGAGCAAGUCUACAGCGACCUGAACAUUACCGCGCUGUCUCCUAAACAGAGUAACUGUUUACCUCCUCAACACGAACAAACGUAUUUCUACAACUCUCGGUAUACUAAUGAGGACACUCUGGACUUUCAGCACCGGGACUUCGAGAGCGUGUUCUUUCAGAAUGAGAUCUGAGUCGACGCCAUUUUGACGGCCGCCAUCUUGGGUCGGGGGAAAAAAACCAAGAAGUCCGGAAACUUACCGGCUGAACCUGAUUAAAAUUAAACGACACGCAUGCGCAGCAGGAGGCUCGUGGCUCUGCGUCAUGUGCCGCUGUCCCCAGAGUGUAAGCCCCGCCCACGCCUGCUCAGACACACGAGCACACAGGUAAACCUGCUCCACAAAGGUGUGUGUGUAUGCUCUAUAUUGUGUUUGUGUUCUGCUGUGCAUCUGUGUUCGAGAGACUUUUGCAGGUCUGCUGCUCCAUCGCUGAUGGCUUUCAGCUGAACUUUCUGAGCAGCGGCGGUCAGAAGGACACGAGGCCGAAAGGCUCCCAGUCUUCAUGCCUGGGUAACUCUUUUAUUCUGAUCACUCUUGCUGUACUCUGAUACACUGUGAGUUCACUGUGGAGAUGUUUGAAAGGUAUGAGAAACCAGGCUUGUGCACUUUGUAUAUUAAUUUGUGUUUAAAGAAAAUGUAUUAAAGUUAUUUUGCUUACACUUUUGGCAUGUUUUCUGACUUUGCGUAAGGUCCAGGAGAAAUGCUGUUAUUCAGGGUAUUUCUAUAAAUUAUUAAUGUGGGGGGAAAUAUAUUUUUUUAACUGUAGAGAAAAUUACUUUACAAACAGUGACCCAUUGAUACCAUUUCACAAACCAUGCGCAAUUGCAACAGUACAUCUGGAAUAAGAAAACAGUACCAAAAAUCCCCCAGGUAAGUUAUUGGUGUAAAACGGUAUGCAAGGUGCCCACUAUAGGUUUUUCCUAAACAAAAAAAGUUGUGAAGCAAAGAUCAAAGCUUUGGGAACACGGAAAUAUCUUCAGUGAUUCAAAGUACAAUUCUUUUUAUGGCCUUUUCCUUUGUAAAAGCUCGGAUGUUCUGACAUCUUGAACACCUACGAGGGUUCUGCCUGACUCAACACCCUGACCCCCCCCCCCCAACGUUGCAUAAUCAUUAAUGGGUGGGUGUCUGUUAGUGAUGAGAAGAUCAGAUCAUUUUACUUGGGUCUUUGAAUUUGAAUCUCGUGCUGCCAAAUGAACCGAGCUUCGUCAUUUUGUUCAUUUGAGCAGAAUUGUGUUGAAAUGUAAAUGUUAGCUUUAGUAGCCAAAUUCCCCCUCAGCACGCUUACAUGGGUGUUUAUGGCGUUUGGCAGACACACUUAUCCAGAGUGACUUAGAAUUAUCUGUCUCUUUCUUGUAUACACAACUGAGCAUUUGAGGGUCAAGGGCCCGGCAGUUGCAUCUUGGGUUUAAACUCACGACCUUCCUAUCAGCAUCUUGACCACCAAGCUACCACUUCCACACAAGGACAAAUUGAGAUAGUAUUAAUUCAAUGUUCAACUGGGUCUUCUGGUCCGAGUCGUGCAGUCUUCAGUCACAUGUUAGUCGGGUAGGCUAUGUACAGGAAACAGAAAUGACUAGGUGUAGGAGAGGCUUGGGAAGUGAAUUUUAAUCAUUGUUUCCUGUGCAGAGAGAGAGCGUGCGCAGCACAUUCAGUGUGUGAGAACAUAAGAGACAUGGUCACUUCUAACAUUCUUUGAAUGAUUGUUUUGCAUGUAAAUACAGCAGACAUCCAGUGUUUGUGCGUAGCUAAUUACAAGUAGCUACAUUACUAACUUAACUACACUUUCAGUAGUGUGACAGCUUUGUUACUUUAAAAAAUAGUCUAGCUUUCCAAGUAACGAGGUACUUUUUCCAAACGAGUAGGGAUUGUAGGAACCAAGCUAUGAAUGAGAAUAUGUAGGCUAUAAAUCUAAAUUGAAUCUCCAUAUUUUUUUUACUUUUAAUUAAGAUUAUUAAACAUGGAUCUUUUGCUUUCAUUAAAUAGACUUAUGUAUGGUAGGCUCAUUUUGUAAACAUUUUUCAUUACUGUAUACAUAAGCAAAAAGUGGGAGCUUCCUGCAAAUGUCAUUUCUCACAUGUACAAAAUCAGGUGAUUAUGUUCAUCCAUCAUAUGUAUAGAGACAAAAGGAAGUUAUUACAGGAUGUUCUCUCUGUAUGGCCACCCGUCCAUGUAAACGUCUCUGUGUAUAAAGAGAAAAGUAUGAGGUUCAAUCACUGUUUUUGUGAAGAUAAUGAUGAAUGAAAACAUGGUGCACUCCCCAAAAACACUUUCAGCUUUGGCUUUAUUUUUUCAACAGAAUGUACAAAGCAAAUCCAAAUCACUAUUUAAAAAAAAAAAAACCCUAUCCAUGAAUUUUGUGCCAUCUGGCUGUCUCUAUGGUCCCGCAUGGAUGGAUCAUAGAUACCUGUAGCCUACAAUCGUACCUUUCGGCAGGAUUCGCCUCGAAGUCAUUCAAUUCCAUGCGGUAAGUUUAAAAAAAAAAAAAAAAAAAAAAAAAAAAGGCGUGCAAACACGAAAACGCUGCCUUAAGGAAUCAAAUAAAUCUUACACCUUGUUAUAUGUAAUCUUUGCAAACCAAAGAUUAAAAUUCUUCUAAUGCGAAAGACACGUUUAGAAAAUGAGCGUGAUUGUUCUGUUAAAUUGUUUAAUCUGUUUAUGCAGAAUUAUACACAGUUAUUCAUAAGCUGGUUCACAAUCAUGACGUACCAAAAAUGUCACCCAAUUAAGUUGCUUCAGUGUAGCU